CUCUGUCUGGGAGAGCGUGCAGAGUUUCAAGGCGUCUGACUGAAAACUUGGGAAUUCUGUAAUCUCACCAUGUCGUUUGAAGGCCACCAUAACAAACAUAUGCAAUAUGGUUUCGGGUGACAUUUCAGGUCCUCCUGUGAACUGAAGGCACCAGAAUGGGAAAUGGUAUCAGACCUGGGAGUAUUCAUAAACUUAAACCUAAGAAAACCUAAAAGAUGAACGUCCACUAGAUGGUGCCGCACCCGUUUUCAUGCUGAUGGAGGACUGUUGGAGCUCCCAUAUGGCAGGACUAAAGAAGGAAUGGAGGUCUUCAAUCUUGCGCAGUUCUACAGUUUGAAAAAAAUGAAAGCGUUUCCUAACCAGGCUUUUCCAAGAAGGUGAGAGCCAAUCCACAUCUUUGGAUCACUUUCAAAGGGGGUCAGCCACUUCUCAUCACUGGCGAUCCUUAACGCAGUGAUCCUACAUCAGUGCCCUGUGAGACCUUUUGCAGGUCUUUUUGCUACAUAAGAUGCUUGCUGUCUUUAGGGCAACACUGUUUUAAUUGUAAACUGUUUCAAACCUGUUGUAUUGGCAUUUUAAAUCUGAACGCCGCUUUACUUUGUUUUUAACAGCUGGUGAGAAGUUUGGGCUGUACUGGAAGCCAUAAACCUUCCUUUGUGGCGAUAUAGGUUUGAUAAAGUAAUGUAUCAGUGUUUGUGUGCCAUUUAAUGUAGUAAUUAAUACAAUAAAGAUCCUGUCAUAAUGUUGUA
rnacentral:lncRNA from 1 species